UGAAUACGAGAUGCUACGGCGUCGAAGCAGUCUAUGUCAUACUUCCAAGAAAAGCUUGCACUGUCAUAAACAAAUAAUGCCUGUACCAUAACCGACACAGGUGGGUAGGUAGAGUAUACUAAGGGGCGCGAGAUAACUCUCUCUAAGGAACUCGGCAAAAUGACUCCGUAACUUCGGGAGAAGGAGUGCCUUAUUUAUAAGGUUGCAAUAACAAGACCCAAGCAACUGUUUAUCAAAAACACAGGUCUCCGCUAAGUCGUAAGACGAUGUAUGGGGGCUGACGCCUGCCCAGUGCCAGAAGGUUAAAGAAGUUGGUUAGCAUUAGCGAAGCUGAUGACUGAAGCCCUGGUGAACGGCGGCCGUAACAAUAACGGUCCUAAGGUAGCGAAAUUCCUUGUCGGGUAAGUUCCGACCCGCACGAAAGGCGUAAUGAUUUGGGUACUGUCUCAGAGAGGGACUCGGUGAAAUAGACUUGUCUGUGAAGAUGCGGACUACCUGCACCUGGACAGAAAGACCCUAUGAAGCUUUACUGUAACCUGAAAUUGAAAUUGGACUUUAUUUGCGCAGUAUAGGUGGGAGGCUUUGAAGAUAUUCUUGCGGGAAUGUUGGAGCCAUCAGUGAGAUACCACUCUUGUAAUGUUAGAUUUCUAACUUUGUAUCAUUAUCUGGUCAAAGAACAGUUUCAGGCGGGCAGUUUGACUGGGGCGGUCGCCUCCUAAACGGUAACGGAGGCGCACAAAGGUUUCCUCUGAACGGGUAGAAAUCGUAUCUAGAGUGUAAAGGCAUAAGGAAGCUUGACUGUGAGACCUACAAGUCGAGCAGGGACGAAAGUCGGUCUUAGUGAUCUGACGGUGCUGAGUGGAAAGGCCGUCACUCAACGGAUAAAAGUUACUCUAAGGAUAACAGGCUGAUCUCCCCCAAGAGUUCACAUCGACGGGGAGGUUUGGCACCUCGAUGUCGGCUCAUCGCAUCCUGGGGCGGUAGUACGUCCCAAGGGUUGGGCUGUUCGCCCAUGAAAGCGGUACGCGAGCUGGGUUCAGAACGUCGUGAGACAGUUCGGUCCAUAUCCGGUGUAGGCGCUAGAAUAUUGAGAGGAGCCUUCUCUAGUACGAGAGGACCGAGAAGGACAUACCUCUGGUGUACCAGUUAUCGUGCCAACGGUAAACGCUGGGUAGCUAUGUGUGGAGCGGAUAACCGCUGAAAGCAUCUAAGUGGGAAGCCCACCUCAAGAUAAG
rnacentral:rRNA from 1 species